AUCCAGUUGACGAGCCCCAAAUAGGGCAAAACUUACGUCAAACUGGAU
rnacentral:hammerhead_ribozyme from 1 species